GACGAACGCUGGCGGCGUGCCUAAUACAUGCAAGUAGAACGCUGAAGGAGGAGCUUGCUUCUCUGGAUGAGUUGCGAACGGGUGAGUAACGCGUAGGUAACCUGCCUGGUAGCGGGGGAUAACUAUUGGAAACGAUAGCUAAUACCGCAUAAGAGUAGAUGUUGCAUGACAUUUGCUUAAAAGGUGCAAUUGCAUCACUACCAGAUGGACCUGCGUUGUAUUAGCUAGUUGGUGGGGUAACGGCUCACCAAGGCGACGAUACAUAGCCGACCUGAGAGGGUGAUCGGCCACACUGGGACUGAGACACGGCCCAGACUCCUACGGGAGGCAGCAGUAGGGAAUCUUCGGCAAUGGACGGAAGUCUGACCGAGCAACGCUGCGUGAGUGAAGAAGGUUUUCGGAUCGUAAAGCUCUGUUGUAAGAGAAGAACGAGUGUGAGAGUGGAAAGUUCACACUGUGACGGUAUCUUACCAGAAAGGGACGGCUAACUACGUG
rnacentral:rRNA from 1 species